rnacentral:tRNA from 1 species
UCCCUGGAGGACUAGUGGUUAGGCUUUGGCGCUCUCACCACUGUGGCCCGGGUUCGAUUCCUGGCUAGGGAA